rnacentral:rRNA from 1 species
AACGUAGGAGGCGAGCGUUAUCCGGAUUUACUGGGCGUAAAGCGCAUGCAGGCGGUUUUCUAAGUCGGACGUGAAAGCUCUCGGCUCAACUGGGAGAGGCCGUUCGAAACUAGGAGACUUGAGGGUGGUAGAGGAGAGUGGAAUUCCCGGUGUAGUGGUGAAAUGCGUAGAUAUCGGGAGGAACACCAGUGGCGAAGGCAGCUCUCUGGGCCAACCCUGACGCUCAGAUGCGAAAGCUAGGGGAGAGAACGGGAUUAGAAACCCCGGUAUUCCUAGCCGUAAACGAUGUCAACUAGGCGUAGGGGGUUAUUGACCCCUCCUGUGCUGUAGCUAACGCAUUAAGUUGACCGCCUGGGGACUACGGCCGCAAGGCUAAAACUCAAAGGAAUUGACGGGUCCCCGCACAAGCAGCGGAGCGUGUGGUUCAAUUCGAGGCUACGCGAAGAACCUUACCAGGGUUUGACAUGCUGGUGGUAGGAACGUGAAAACGAACCGACCCUUCGGGGAGCCAGCACAGGUGCUGCAUGGCUGUCGUCAGCUCGUGCCGUGAGGUGUUAGGUUAAGUCCUGUAACGAGCGCAACCCUCGUCGCUAGUUACAUGUGUCUAGCGAGACUGCCGGUGAUAAACCGGAGGAAGGCGGGGAUGACGUCAAGUCAGCAUGGCCCUUAUAUCCUGGGCUACACACACGCUACAAUGGCCGGUACAAUGGGUCGCCAAGCCGUGAGGCGGAGCCAAUCCUUUAAAGCCGGUCUCAGUUCGGAUUGCAGGCUGCAACUCGCCUGCAUGAAGUCGGAGUUGCUAGUAACCGCGCGUCAGCAACAGUGCGGUGAAUACGUUCCCGGGGAU